rnacentral:rRNA from 1 species
GAGUUUGAUCCUGGCUCAGAUUGAACGCUGGCGGCAUGCCUAACACAUGCAAGUCGAACGGGGUGUAGCAAUACACCUAGUGGCGGACGGGUGAGGAAUACAUAGGAAUUUGCCCUUAAGUGGGGGAUAGUCCGGGGAAACUCGGUUUAAUACCGCAUGAUCUCGUGAGAGCAAAGCAGGGGACCGCAAGGCCUUGCGCUUUUGGAGAAGCCUAUGUCGGAUUAGCUAGUUGGCGGGGUAAUAGCCCACCAAGGCAACGAUCCGUAGCUGGUCUGAGAGGACGAUCAGCCACACCGGAACUGAGACACGGUCCGGACUCCUACGGGAGGCAGCAGUGGGGAAUAUUGGACAAUGGGCGCAAGCCUGAUCCAGCAAUGCCGCGUGUGUGAAGAAGGCCUUC